rnacentral:rRNA from 1 species
UACGGAGGGUGCGAGCGUUGUUCGGAUUCAUUGGGCGUAAAGGGUGUGUAGGUGGCGCCGUAAGUCGGGUGUGAAAUCUCGGGGCUUAACUCCGAAACUGCAUUCGAUACUGCCGUGCUUGAGGACUGGAGAGGAGACUGGAAUUUACGGUGUAGCGGUGAAAUGCGUAGAUAUCGUAAGGAAGACCAGUGGCGAAGGCGGGUCUCUGGACAGUUCCUGACGCUGAGGCACGAAGGUCAGGGGAGCAAACGGG